AUUGAACGCUGGCGGCAGGCCUAACACAUGCAAGUCGAGCGGAGCGGCGGACGGGUGAGUAAUGCCUAGGAAUCUGCCUGGUAGUGGUGGAUAACGUCCGGCAACGGGCGCUAAUACCGCAUACUAUCAGAUGAGCCUCGGGCGAAUAAGCUAGUUGGUGGGGUAAAGGCCUACCAAGGCGACGAUCCGUAACUGGUCUGAGAGGAUGAUCAUUCACACUGGAACUGAGACACGGUCCAGACUCCUACGGGAGGCAGCAGUGGGGAAUAUUGGACAAUGGGCGAAAGCCUGAUGCAGCCAUGCCGCGUGUGUGAAGAAGGUCUUCGGAUUGUAAAGUACUUUCAGUCGGGAGGCGUGACCGACAGAAGAAGCACCGGCUAACUCCGUGCCAGCAGCCGCGGUAAUAC
rnacentral:rRNA from 1 species